rnacentral:rRNA from 1 species
UAGGGAAUCUUCCACAAUGGACGAAAGUCUGAUGGAGCAACGCCGCGUGAGUGAUGAAGGGUUUCGGCUCGUAAAACUCUGUUGUUGGAGAAGAACGGGUGUCAGAGUAACUGUUGACAUCGUGACGGUAUCCAACCAGAAAGCCACGGCUAACUACGUGCCAGCAGCCGCGGUAAUACGUAGGUGGCAAGCGUUGUCCGGAUUUAUUGGGCGUAAAGCGAGCGCAGGCGGUUUUUUAGGUCUGAUGUGAAAGCCUUCGGCUUAACCGGAGAAGUGCAUCGGAAACCGGGAGACUUGAGUGCAGAAGAGGACAGUGGAACUCCAUGUGUAGCGGUGAAAUGCGUAGAUAUAUGGAAGAACACCAGUGGCGAAGGCGGCUGUCUGGUCUGCAACUGACGCUGAGGCUCGAAAGCAUGGGUAGCGAACAGGAUUAGAUACCCUGGUAGUCCAUGCCGUAAACGAUGAGUGCUAAGUGUUGGAGGGUUUCCGCCCUUCAGUGCUGCAGUUAACGCAUUAAGCACUCCGC